rnacentral:misc_RNA from 1 species
CAGAGUUGCAAGACUCCCUAAACCAUUGUGAAACCUACCUUCUACCGUUGCUUCGGCGGGCGGGCCCAGCGCCCCCCCCGGCCCCCCGCGGGCGCCCGCCGGAGGAUACCCAAACUCUUGACAUUAGUGGCCUCUCUGAGUAUUCUUUACUGAAUAAGUCA